UUCAUAUUAUACUGGUAUCUGGCAGUCAACGAGCCUCAUCACUUGACUAAACAUAGAAAAGCAUAUACGAGCAGCGACAUCACCAACAACGUGGUAGCAAUGAAAAUGUUCCUGUGUCUGACCAUUGUUGUCAUGGUAGCUGUAUGCCAAGCAGAAGAAAUCCCGGGAUUAGCAAACGCGGAAGCUGAAAUAAUUGAAGAAAAUCCACAGUUGGCAAAAGAGUAUAUUAAAGACGUCAUAGAUGCUUUAGCUGUCGAUGGUGUAAAUUAUAAAGACUUGUUUCCAGAAGAAUAACACACUAUACGGUUGUACUGUAAUAUCCAUAUUACAUAGGCUGAAUGGAAUGAAAUAAAAAUUCUAAACUCUCAUAGUGA